UACGUAGGGUGCAAGCGUUGUCCGGAAUUAUUGGGCGUAAAGAGCUCGUAGGCGGUUUGUCGCGUCUGCUGUGAAAACGCGAGGCUCAACCUCGCGCCUGCAGUGGGUACGGGCAGACUAGAGUGCGGUAGGGGAGAUUGGAAUUCCUGGUGUAGCGGUGAAAUGCGCAGAUAUCGGGAGGAACACCGGUGGCGAAGGCGGGUCUCUGGGCAGUAACUGACGCUGAGGAGCGAAAGCGUGGGGAGCGAACAGG
rnacentral:rRNA from 1 species